AUCUUGGGCAAUGGGCGAAAGCCUGACGCAGCCAUGCCGCGUGAAUGAUGAAGGUCGUAGGAUUGUAAAAUUCACUCACUUGGGACGAAAAUGACGGUACCCGGAGAAGAAGCCCCGGCUAACUUCGUGCCAUCAGCCGUGGUAAUACGAAGGGGGCUAGCGUUGCUGGGAAUUACUGGGCGUAAAGGGCGCGGAGGCGGACAUUUAAGUCAGGGGUGAAAUCCCAGAGCUCAACUCUGGAACUGCCUUUGAUACUGGGUGUCUUGAGUGUGAGAGAGGUAUGUGGAACUCCGAGUGUAGAGGUGAAAUUCGUAGAUAUUCGGAAGAACACCAGUGGCGAAGGCGACAUACUGGCUCAUUACUGACGCUGAGGCGCGAAAGCGUGGGGAGCAAACA
rnacentral:rRNA from 1 species